rnacentral:rRNA from 1 species
AGUAGCGAAAGACAGGUGAGAAUCCUGUCCACCGAAUGACUAAGGUUUCCUGGGGAAGGCUCGUCCGCCCAGGGUUAGUCGGGACCUAAGCCGAGGCCGACAGGCGUAGGCGAUGGACAACAGGUUGAUAUUCCUGUACCCGUUGUUUUUGUUUGAGCAAUGGAGGGACGCAGGAGGCUAAGAAGUGCAGACUGAUGGAUAUGUCUGUUCAAGCAGUAAGUCUUGGUAGGAGUCAAAUGCUUCUACCUAUACGGACAAGCUGUGAUGAGGAGGGAAAUAAUAGUACCGAAGCUUCUGAUGUCACACUGCCAAGAAAAGCUUCUAGUGAGAAAACAACGGCCCGUACCGCAAACCGACACAGGUAGUCGAGGAGAGAAUCCUAAGGUGAGCGAGAGAACUCUCGUUAAGGAACUCGGCAAAAUGACCCCGUAACUUCGGGAGAAGGGGUGCUGCUCUAACGAGCAGCCG